rnacentral:tRNA from 1 species
CUGUUGGUGGUUCAGUGAUAGAAUUCUUGCCUUCCAUGCUAGAGACUUGGGUUCAAUUCCUGGCCAAUACA